CCUACGGGAGGCAGCAGUGGGGAAUAUUGGGCAAUGGGCGCAAGCCUGACCCAGCAACGCCGCGUGAAGGAAGAAGGCUUUCGGUUUGUAAACUUCUUUUCGCAGGGACGAAGAAAGUGACGGUACCUGAGGAAUAAGCCACGGCUAACUACGUGCCAGCAGCCGCGGUACUACGUAGGUGGCAAGCGUUAUACGGAUUUAUUGGGUGUAAAGGGCGUGUAGGCGGGAGCGCAAGUGAGAUGUGAAAACUCAGGGCUCAACCCUGAGCCUGCAUUUGAAACUGUGUUGCUGGAGUGCUGGAGAGGCAAUCGGAAUUCCGGGUGUAGCGGUGAAAUGCGUAGAGAUAAGGAGGAACACCAGUGGCGAAGGCGGAUUGCUGGACAGUAACUGACGCUGAGGCGCGAAAGCGUGGGGAGCAAACAGGAUUAGAUACCCCAGUAGUC
rnacentral:rRNA from 1 species